GACAGAGGGUGCGAACGUUGUUCGGAAUUACUGGGCGUAAAGCGCGUGUAGGCGGCAACGCAAGUCGGGCGUGAAAUCCCACGGCUCAACCGUGGAAGUGCACUCGAAACUGCGUAGCUAGAGUCCUGGAGAGGAAGGUGGAAUGCUUGGUGUAGAGGUGAAAUUCGUAGAUAUCAAGCGGAACACCGGUGGCGAAGGCGGCCUUCUGGACAGUGACUGACGCUGAGGUGCGAAAGCGUGGGGAGCAAAUAGG
rnacentral:rRNA from 1 species